UGAGGUCUUGAUCCACUUUAGAAUUUCCUCUGUCAACGAGAGUGUGGCUUUUCAGAGCUCCUCCUACAACUUCGUAAUCAAGGAGAACGAACCUGAGGCCACAACAGUAGGCAAAGUCAAGGCGUUGACAGGGAGUCCACUGGUUUUCAGUCAGCUAUAACAUGAAGUCACAUAAGGAUGUCUUCUCUGUGGAUGGUGAAGGAACCAUAAAAGCUCUCAGAGCACUAGACAAGGAGGAAGAGGAGUGGUACAUCCUAACAGUAGAGGCCCGUAGACUCCAGAACUCCUCCAAACACAGCAGAGACAAUGGUCAGAGUUCAGGUUGAGAACGUGAAUGAGGCUCCGGUGUUUGACGAUGAAAUAUAUAAAGCAGAAUUUUCAGUAUCGCUCCAUACAAAUUCCCUAUAGUGAAGGUGCAGGCAUUAGACCCUGAUGUGGGCGAGAGCUCAGAAUUGCAUUAUUCACUGUUGGAGUCCACAUCUCUGAUGGAUGUGGAGGAAAGCACUGGUCAGAUCUACGUACUGGAUGCAUCUAGUGUUAGAGACGGUCUGUUCAACUUUCAGGCUAAAGCCACUGAUAAACAUGGACUGUCCAUGACUACAUCAGUACAGAUCAGAGUAAAACAAGUGUACAUCAUUUGAGCGUCACCGUCAUCUCCCUAAACCAGCCUGUCUACAUAGUGGAGAAGAAGAUCCCAGAGAUGGAGGAUUCCAUGGGAAAAGCUUUAGGCUGGACUGUGAAAGUCCUCAGUGUGAGUGCUGAGGAUGGGAUUGAGAUGCCGCACCAUUUUCAGAGAAACUACAGCCAAGACUUACGUCAGCUUCAUCGCCAUGGACACCAGUGGUGCUGUCAUCCCAGCCACGGAGGUCAAAGAGAAAGUGCACAGUGAGCACAAAGUUUUAACAUCUGAACUGGUGAAUGUUUUUUGGUCCUGGUCUGGAAAUCAAAGUGGAGGACAGUUCUGGAAACUCUGGAGAUUCCAGUCAAACAGUCAAAACUUAUCUUAGUGUUCUGCUAGCAAUAAGCUUUGUGGUUAUUGUGUUACUCGUUGCACUUGUUAGAAGAAAGAAAAAGGAUUGUAGGAGAAAACAGUAUUCGCCUCCCUACUAACUUUUAGAAAAACCCAGAACCGGAAAGGUUGUGAUAGAGAAUAGGAGAACAACAACAGCCUGAAACCACCACGAUAGAUCAAAGCUUAUGUCUUUAUUAUAACAUACAUCUAUAGCCCUAAUCCUAAACUUAGUGAG